rnacentral:rRNA from 1 species
AGUGAACGCUGGCGGUAGGCCUAACACAUGCCAGUCGAACGGCAGCACAGUAAGAGCUUGCUCUUACGGGUGGCGAGUGGCGGACGGGUGAGGAAUACAUCGGAAUCUACUUUUUCGUGGGGGAUAACGUAGGGAAACUUACGCUAAUACCGCAUACGACCUACGGGUGAAAGCAGGGGAUCUUCGGACCUUGCGCGAUUGAAUGAGCCGAUGUCGGAUUAGCUAGUUGGCGGGGUAAAGGCCCACCAAGGCGACGAUCCGUAGCUGGUCUGAGAGGAUGAUCAGCCACACUGGAACUGAGACCCGGUCCAGACUCCUACGGGAGGCAGCAGUGGGGAAUAUUGGAAAAUGGGCGCAAGCCUGAUCCAGCCAUACCGCGUGGGUGAAGAAGGCCUUCGGGUUGUAAAGCCCUUUUGUUGGGAAAGAAAAGCAGCAGGUUAAUACCCCGCUGUUCUGACGGUACCCAAAGAAUAAGCACCGGCUAACUUCGU